UUCAUGGCUGACUAGGCUUCCAACGUCUUUAUCAAUCUUCAAGACAUUAGUUUAUAAAGCCUCAAAAAGUUUUAUGGAGGCUUAAAGAUCUAUGCAGUCAUCAGGAGUCGAGCUAACUAAGGGCGAAAAAUUUACUGGCACACGUUUUCAUCUCUCUUCCUCUAGUUCUGAGAAAACGAAAUUAUACUUAAACAUUGUUCUUACCGGAAGUUCAAGAUAUGCCCCAGUAUAGAACUCUAUGGUGAAACUCAUCUAGCCCCUCUCUCCCUCUUCCAUCGAUGAUUCUGCGUUUUAACGCCGGAAGGGCGGCUGCCUUCUUUUACUGCGCAGGCGCCAAGACCCCGUGCCUUUCCGGAAACCCGGAAGUAGGAGGAAGAGGAGUGUAUCCCAGAAACAAAAAUGUGAUGGUGCCAUCAAGUUUUUUGUACCAUUCCUAAAUGAAUGAUCUUCACCCUUCCUGAUGAAAAAACAGCUAAUAUGAAAUUGAAGUUCUUUGCUGAAGUAUUGCCUUUUCUGGAAGGACUGCAGAGUGGGUAACUGCACUACGUAUUGGCCGUUCCAAGUUUAAGGAGCAACUUGGGGAAAAAAGGCACAGUAAGAAACUGGAAUUUAAACCUGAACUCAGCCUUGCUUGGAAUUUACAGUUUCCCUAAAUCCAAAACACCAACUGUACCACAUUUGGAUGAUGUGUUAAGCCUAAGUCUUGGGUAAGGACUGGGUGUGAUGAGGGGUAAAAUGAUGGUAAAUGGUAAAUCCAUGGAAGCGACUUAACUAUUUGGAGUUGGGGACUGUGUAUUCUGUCAGUUCUGGAGGUAUUUAUAUUGUCCCCCAGGUUCAGUUUUCAUACAUAAACUUCUCCUGUGUGUUCACAUUUCUGUAAAUGAAUGCAGAACUUAAAAUUUGGAAAUGAAGUGUAUGAACUUCAUACUGUACAGUAUUGGGCACCAUUUUAGGAAGCUCUGGUGAGGCUUGUUGGAAAGCUUCUGCCUUAGUUUCAAAAGAGCUAGUUAGGCCACUAUUCUCAUAAUACAAAUCAUCUCCUUAAAAAAAAAAAAACGUACGUGUGUGCACGUGUGUAUAUGGAAGGUUAGAGCAGGAAGAAGUCUCCAUAUGAUGGAAAAUAAACUGAUUUGCUUGUGUGGAUCUGUUUCUUGAUCCAGCUAGAUUUGUUAGGUUUAACCUGGGCAAUCCAAAUCACCGGUCUCUUUUCUGUGUUCGUUUAAAGUAAGCCUCUUUGAUCACAUUGUUAUGAAUUUAAAGUAUUCCUCAUUCUGACAGUAGUUUCUUUCCUUGGGCUUGUUUUAGAUACUUUAACUAAUGGAUUAGAAAACAUUUUUGUAUCAACGCUGGAGUUUUGAGGCCUUACGUGCAAGUACAGCUUAAAGCUGUGGGGCCGUGAUGGCAAACUUUUCCCAGCUACUCUAUGGCUAGAAUUCACUGCCACU